UACGGAGGGAGCUAGCGUUGUUCGGAAUUACUGGGCGUAAAGCGCACGUAGGCGGCUUUGUAAGUUAGAGGUGAAAGCCCGGGGCUCAACCCCGGAAUUGCCUUUAAGACUGCAUCGCUUGAAUCCGGGAGAGGUGAGUGGAAUUCCGAGUGUAGAGGUGAAAUGCGUAGAUAUCGGGAGGAACACCAGUGGCGAAGGCGGCUAUCUGGGCUGAAAACUGACGCGUGAGGCGGCGAAGGCUAGGGGAGCAAACAGG
rnacentral:rRNA from 1 species